CUUGCAAGUGAUGAUAAACAGACAGGGACAUCAGCACUCUAAUUGAGGAUGUUGAUUUGUCGUUGGGAAUCUCUCUGAUGCAUA
rfam:Morus notabilis contig10677, whole genome shotgun sequence.